UGUGGGGUAUGGCCACCNGCUUUGACGGGUAGCUCGGCCUGANAGGGUGACCGGCCCACUGGGACUGAGACACGGCCCAGACUCCUACGGGAGGCAGCAGUGGGGAAUAUUGGACAAUGGGCGGAAGCCUGAUCCAGCAACGCCGCGUGAGGGAUGACGGCCUUCGGGUUGUAAACCUCUUUCAGCACAGACGAAGGGUGGUGACGGUAUGUGCAGAAGAAGCACCGGCCAACUACGUGCCAGCAGCCGCGGUAAUACGUAGGGUGCGAGCGUUGUCCGGAAUUAUUGGGCGUAAAGGGCUCGUAGGCGGUUUGUCGCGUCGGGAGUGAAAUCCACUGGCUUAACUGGUGGCUUGCUUUCGAUACGGGCAGACUGGAGGUAUGCAGGGGAGAACGGAAUUCCUGGUGUAGCGGUGAAAUGCGCAGAUAUCAGGAGGAACACCGGUGGCGAAGGCGGUUCUCUGGGCAUGUCCUGACGCUGAGGAGCGAAAGUGUGGGGAGCGAACAGGAUUAGAUACCCUGGUAGUCCACACCGUAAACGUUGGGCGCUAGGUGUGGGAUCCAUU
rnacentral:rRNA from 1 species